rnacentral:rRNA from 1 species
AUUGAACGCUGGCGGAAUGCUUUACACAUGCAAGUCGAACGGCAGCACGGGGGCAGCCCUGGUGGCGAGUGGCGAACGGGUGAGUAAUACAUCGGAACGUGCCCGGUCGUGGGGGAUAACGUAGCGAAAGUUACGCUAAUACCGCAUACGAUCUGAGGAUGAAAGCGGGGGACCUUCGGGCCUCGCGCGAUCGGAGCGGCCGAUGUCAGAUUAGGUAGUUGGUGGGGUAAAGGCCUACCAAGCCGACGAUCUGUAGCUGGUCUGAGAGGACGACCAGCCACACUGGGACGGAGACACGGCCCAGACUCCUACGGGAGGCAGCAGUGGGGAAUUUUGGACAAUGGGCGCAAGCCUGAUCCAGCCAUUCCGCGUGCAGGACGAAGGCCUUCGGGUUGUAAACUGCUUUUGUACGGAACGAAAAGGCUCUGGCUAAUACCUGGGGCUCAUGACGGUACCGUAAGAAUAAGCACCGGCUAACUACGUG